GCUAGCUACCACUACAAUGGUCCAAUACUAGUAUACGAGGUUUGCUUUGCCAGUGGACAGAUUCCUUCGCUUCUUCUCUAGAUUUGCUGAUGGUGUUGUGGUCACAAAGUAGCUAGGUGAAUACAGCUGUUGCCGUAGCUGAAAGCCAAAUUCUUGUCGAGCCGUGCAAGGCUGAAUAUACUCGGCAGAAUCUCACCUACACGGAUAGAAGGCUCUCACUACCACAGACGGUUGAUCAGGUUUGCGGAUUGUGGUACAACUGCUGCCGCCAAAGGCCUGAUAUUUGGAAGAUGAAGAAGAGAACCGUUCAAUGUUGUUCGGAAGAACAGGUGGAAGAAGACAAUGUUCACCUGCCCUACAGUCUUCGGGGGCGUCCUGUUGGUCUACGUCAGUUCUCAGAAAGCCAUACCGAGACGGAUUGUCAUCAGCCUGGGCCCGUUUCAGAUAGCAAUGAUCAAGGUGAUGUAGUGCACUCCACGGUCGUGUCCGAUCUGAAAGAUCUGAACACAGCAGAUAUGCAUCACAAGUUAGUGCGCCAAAGCUCGUGUAAUCUCCAUAGUCUCUUGUACGAUGUGUGGAUCUCAUC